rnacentral:lncRNA from 1 species
AAUCAUCAAAAUCAGAAAAAUGUUAGUAUAAAUAAAAAUUAAAAUUGGAGAAGAUGGCUUACUUUCUUUUUCUGACACAAACUCAAUGACAAACACCACAUUUUUGAACAUUUCCGGGACUUUGAACUUGGCCAGGUUUACUAUGAUGGUUGUGGCUUGUCCCGUUUUAUCAAACUCAACUGCUUUGGGCUUGAUUGUCUCAUGC